GCAGGAGUGCGAGCACUAAACGCGCGGGCGCCGCCGCCUCCCUCUGCAGUCCGCGUCCCCUCGGCCGUUGUCCCCGCUGCAGCUACCACCGCCGCCGCGAUGUUCGGGAUGCUGAGCAGCAGCUUCGAGGACGACCCCUUCUUCUCUGAUUCUUUUCUUGCACACCGAGAAAGUAUGAGGCAGAUGAUGAGAAACUUUUCUGACCCUUUUGGAAGAGACUUACUCAGCAUCUCUGAUGGUAGAGGAAGAGCUCAUAAUCGUACAAGAUACGAUGAUGAAGAAAAUUCCUUGACUACGAUUAGUUCUCUUGUGCCUUUUAGCAGAUUCGGUGGUAUGCGUGCAGAUGUCAGCCCUUUUCACGCAAUGGAUCGAAUGAUGCUAAAUAUGAGAAACAGUAUGCAGGAAUUACAAAGAAACUUUGGUAACCUUUCAGUGGACCCAAAUGGACAUUCAUUUAGUUCUUCCUCUGUUAUGACUUAUUCCAAAGUAGGAGAUGAACCACCAAAGGUUUUUCAGGCCUCAACUCAAACCCGUAGGGCUCCAGGAGGAAUAAAGGAAACUAGGAGAGCAAUGAGAGACUCUGACAGUGGACUCGAAAAACUGGCUGUUGGUCAUCAUCUCCGUGACCGAGCUCAUGUCAUUAAAAAGUCAAAAAACAACAAGACUGGAGAUGAGGAGGUCAAUCAAGAGUUCAUCAAUAUGAACGAAAGUGAUGCUCAUGCUUUUGAUGAUGAGUGGCAAAAUGAGGUUUUGAAAUACAGACCAGGGGGACAGUCUCGCAAUCUAGAAAACACCAGACUGAGAAGUGUGGGUCAUGAGAAGUUAGGAUCCCGAGAACUUAAAAGAAGGCUAUAAAAGUGGAGGAUGGCUGCCGAAGUUGGAAGGCUUCACAGAACCAGCGGUGGACAAAUGGGCAUCAAGGAGAAACCUCAUCAAAUGCCAGCCAUCGAAAGGGGAAGAAGAUCAAAUGCUUUUGUGGACAAACUCAACAUCAAAGGAUCUCCUGUGAAAAUCAACCAAAAAUAAAUAGUCUUGCACUUGAUAUGUUUCAUUUUGAUUGUGUUAAUAGAGGAAGUAAUGGUGCUGGGAAUACAAAUAAGACCAAUCUCUUGUCAAAUCAGUACUGUACUUAGCAACUUUCUUCUGGUAUCUGAAUGUUCUUGGAAGCAGUAGCUCUAUAUAUUGUCCCUACUUUCAGAAUAAAACUUUGAUUUUCAAGAGUGCAA